UUUGGAGCUAGUGGUGGUUUUGGUGGUGGCGGUGGUGCUGGAUUUGGUGGCGGAGUUGGUGGUGGCCACUAGGUUGAAUGUUGAUAUGAAUAUGGUAUCCACGAGUCAUUAUAUUCAAAUUGUUUUACUUCCAUCUGUUUCUGUUAAAAAGACAGUUAAUUAAUGGUAUAAUAUUAUUUCUGUUAAGUUAUAGUGGCUGCUAGGUCUUCUUGUUGGAAUUAAUUAUGCAUGGGAAACAAAGCUUUGUAACCUGUAAUGUCUCUCUCACUAUUAAUUGUUGCCAAUAAUAUAGUAGUAUUGUUUUUUUUAGUGCUGUGUAAGUGUAAGUUUGUACAAGGUGCUCUUCUAUUUUCA
rnacentral:lncRNA from 1 species